AAGAAACGAAUGCGCACAUUCUUGCCAGAUGGAACCUUCCAGAGACGUGUCCAUUUCGAGCGUCCAUAUACGUUUUCUUCAAUAUCACUUCAAAAGCUAAACUAAAUUUACUGUGAAUUGAUGAGACAUUUGUAUUUUUUCGAAAUUUCUACUUUCUCUAGAAUCCUGUGAUCAUAUUUCAUUUCUAAAUACCCCAACAUGCCUCUGGCAUAAAAGAAAGAAGAGCUCGAAAUAGAAUUUGGUCAUUUCAAUUAAGAAAUUGAAACAAAAUCGUAAACAGUGUACUAGGAAUUUUUUAUUUGAUUGGAAUUUGAUAGCUGUGAUGAAUCGACUCUCAGAUACCAUUGUUGAUAACCCACUGCAUUACUGCUGCUGUUUCAUUGGCCAUAGUAGAAACUCUUUGGAUCCACCUCAAUUGCUGAUUUCUUUGAUGAGUGGGUUAUCGACUGUUUCAGUGGUAUUUGAUCCUUCUCCGUCAUUAUUCAUUAAGGACUGACUACUAAAGAGACUCGGCUGUGUCAAUCUGCAAAAUUUGGCAGCUGAAAGUUGUGAACUUGAAACAACUUGAGUGGAAUGAAGAAUUUGUCACUGAUGAGCAAGAAAGGAUUAAACAUCUUAAUUUAGAUUGAAGUGUCUUAGUAAGGAUCAGAAAUGGCUCUCUAACAAUCCUCGCAUAAGAAAAACAAGACAAUGAGCAACAUUACUGCAAUUAGAAUAAUAGAUUCACUGAGCAAUUGGAAGCACUUUUUCUCCACUUCAUCUAAAUUAAAGAAGAAACUGUUUAUCCAGCAUACGGAUGAAAAGAGGAUCUUUCAUUAUGUGUAGGUGAGAUAUUUAGCAGGGAAAUUAUGUAUUACAUAAUUUAAUUAUGUAAAUUAUAUAUACUAAAAACUAAUAUAUAGAAAUAUUAGUUCUUAGUAUACAUAAUUUAUGGUAUGCGGUGUCAUUAAUCAUUUAGUUAUUGAUCGAAAUGAAUCAUUAGGUUGAUUUUUUACUGUCUGUAAAUAAAGAGGAGGAAAUGGUUUUUGGUUUCGGUUUUGGUAGAUUCGAUUUUCAAUAAUGGUUUGGAACCUCACUGGGAAAAAUAUAUUCGUAUUUUAUUGUUAGAAAAUCUAUAGUAUUCAAUUUAUUAUUAAUAGAUGUGAUGUAAUUAAAUUAAAAGUGAACUUUAUCAUAAACUAAAUGGUUUUUAUUGUUAUUAAUUAAGUCAAAAUUAUAUACAUUAAAAAGGAAAAAGAAUUAUUUCCAUAUUUAUUCAGUCAUUUUGUCUUAAACCGCCUUAACGGAUGUAAGGUCCUAAGUAAUUAUUUUCAUUAGAUACAUGUAAUCCUUUUUCGUGCUGUUUAAGUGUUAAAUUUUAUUGACAGCUCUAAAGUAUCUUUUGUACACUGUUUUCUUUUGUGUUUUUUUAUAUAUCUUUUUCGAGCAAUUUUUUCUUUCACUUAAAAAAGAGAAAAUUCUCGCAUAAAUAGAAUAAGUUUUUAAAAUAAUAUGAAGCAUAAAAAUGCUCAAAAUAAUCCAAUUAUUGUUAUUAAUAUGAUAGGCAAUCCAAUGGUCGCCAAAAGGCGGAUUGGAAACAAUAACUACAUUGUUCUUAUUUCCAUUCUGUAAAUGAGAGUUUUUUAAAGGUUUGAUAGAAAGUUUCAUAAUGAAAAACAUUCAUUAGAAACAAUAAUUCUGAUUGGAUUUGGUCGUCACUAAAAUGCAUCGGCAUUGUUCGGAUAUCAUUAAACAGCUAAUAAUCCAUUGUAGUGGAUUAACCGGUAAUGUCACUAUUUCAAUAGUAUCUGGGUUGUGCUGAAUUGUAUAACUCGAAAUUAUGAUUACGUCAGCCUCCGAUAAAACGAAUAUAUGGACCAGAUCAUCAUUCCUCUCUUCACCUCAUUCAACGGAUUUGAAAGGAUUGUUAUUAUCGAUAGCGAAUGUUGUAGUUCCUAAUCCAUAGCAAAACAAUAUGUUUAAUAUUUUACCAUCCAGUUACCUGGUUUAAGCGUUUUUACUAAGAAUAUAUAGACUCUCAGUAAUCCAGCACUUCACGCUAAAAUGAUGUUUCCACAACAGUUUUAAUGCUUUCCUUUGAAAGCUAUUAAUUCUGCAAUGCCAAAAUUCCCUCUGUGAGUGAAGAAAUUUCAAAGAUAUAAAAAAUCUGAUAUUAAAAUUAGUUCUAUUGUUCAGAAAAAAAUGCUCUAAAAUACUUGUCCCAGUAAUAAAUUUACGAUAAACUUAUAAAAAAAAUGGCUGCAUUAAAAAUAUCCCCCAAAAAAUAUUGGUUAGCAUCUGCAGUUAUUAGGAAUAGUCAAACUCUAAACAUUUCAAUUUAUGGAAGAUAAGAGUGAAAUCAAAUUGAAUUCAGUGAGGAAAGGGAUUGGGAAUGUUUGAGAAAAACUUAAUACCAAUCAUUCAAUUUUCAUUUUUUUUUUACCUUUUAUUUACUUAAACUUUUGUUUACUUAUUUUAAAAUAAAAACGCAACGAUAAUUUUUACCCAUAUCCCUUGUGUCAAAGGGGCUUUUGUUUUCUAAUUUGCAAUGAACUUUUGGCUUCGCAGCAUCUUUCAAGACUGGUUUCCAAUUCUUCAUUAUCUGUCGCAACUUUAACAAAUAUUCAUAUCAUUGCCACAAGACGCAAUUAAAAAAUAUGUAAAAAAUAUGUUUCCUUCCAACAUCUGAAAACAAAUAUAAGAUACAAAAAUAUCUAAUGAAAAUCUUGAAAAUGAAAAUAAUACUUGUAAAAUUGAAUGGUUUUAUAUAAAACUUUUGGAAAUGUAAAUAAAUGUAAGAUUCCUGUAUUUCAAAUAAAUCAUUUGGAAACGAUAAUAAUAAUUACAAAAUUCAAAAAUAUCAAACAAAACACUUGUGUAUGAAUGUAACAAACACAAAAUUCAAAACACUCUUAUAAUAUUUGGGAAAAAAAUAUGUAAUAUAAAAAAUAUUUGUAUUUUGUAAAAAAUAAGUAUUUGGACACAUGAUAAGAGAGGGUAGCUCAAUCACUGUCAGGGGUGUAACAAUUUCCCCUGAGGUAUUCACCACCUUAGUCUAAUUAUCAUGUGCUAUUAAUUAUUAAGUAUAUAAGAAUCUUGGUAUGUUACUUUUUUCGUUCACAAGGUCUGCGUGCAUAAUUUUUAAUAACCUUUGAGUUAGAAAAAUUUAAUUAAAAUUGGGGAGAUCAUUUUUUCUUAGUUAUUAAUAGCAUGCACAUAAAUUUCAAAUUAAACAAAUUAUAAUAUUAUGAAUGAAUUUUAAAUAAUAGGUAUGAGAAAAUUUAAAAACUCAAUAUUUUAAACUAAAGCUCAUGAUAUUUUGAAUAAUAAUAUAAAAAGAUUAUUUGCUAUUAUAUUAUAAUAGAAAAAUGCAAUUUAAAAUCAAAUCAAAAGUACAGAAUAAAAAUUUUGAAUUUCACUCGUUGAGUCAGCUGAUGGAUGAUUUUUUUCUUUUUAAAACACUGGUCACUUUUUGAAGAAUAUUCACUUUUUUAAUUAACCACAAAAUGCAAUUUGGAGCACUGGAACUGGAGACUAUAACAGGUGACUAUUAUAUUGUAGUGAUAAUAUUAAAAGGAAAUGACGUCGAGAGCGGGAUUAUUCAGCACAGGUAAGGAGCCAGAAAUUUUUUAUGAUGACAAGGAGCUCCAAUUCCUUGAAAAUAUAAGGAGCACGCACAUGACGAUAUGGAGCACUAAUACAAGGGUAUUAAGCAGCAGUGUUGGAUGAAGUCACAGGUUAGGCAUGGUACCAUCGACGAUGCGGUAACAUGACUGAAUGCAGGGGAUUCAAAGGAAACUGGACUACGGUUUGCAUGAAAUAUACGUACAUAUAUAUACAUUUCAUGCAAGCAUAUAUAUAUAUAUAUAUAUAUAUAUAUAUAUAUAUAUAUCGAUUGUAAAUAAAGUUAGUUAACUCAGAUUAAAUUUUCCUCGGAAUGCGUAAUCGAUGCCAGAGCGGAACUGGGGAUCCAUUGUUGGACCAUUCACCAUCUACAAUAAUGAUAUCCCCUUCCUCAGAAAUUACCUUACCCAAAUAUGUCUAUUGGCCGACGACACUGCCCUCAUGAGCACCAGUGCAUCCAGAAUGAUAAUGGAACAACAACAAAAAAAUACUUUGGCCGAUGGUUAAUCAUGUGGGAAAUAAAAGUUAACGCAGACAAAUGUCAAGGAGUUAAUUUCACCAGAAGAAAAAUCGUUCGGAUACCCCGUCCCCCCCUAGAAUUAUAUAAAAAUCCUAAUUGAAUGGAGCAUUAAUACAAAGUAUUUAGGAGUAAUACUUGACAAAAAGUUUAUAAGGAUCACAUCACUCAAGUAAGAAAUAAAUUUUAGGCCAUGAAAGCAAAAUUAUCCCACUCGUAAGCACUAAAACAAAACUCUCUCUGAGAAACAAGCUUUUGCUCUACAAGGCAAUGCUUAGAUCCAACAUGAGCUAGGCAUCCCCUGUGUGGUUCACAGCCACUAAAUCACAGAUUAAUAAACUGGAAAAAUUAAGAAACAUAGUUGUAAGACAAAUAAAGACUUCCCAUAGUUUAUCAGAAAUAAAUAUAUCCAAAAGGAUCUAAACCUUCCCUCCAAAUAGAAUUCUUUCAAAAAACUAGCAAAUAAUUUCUUCAAUAAAAUACACUUUCUGUCAAACCCCGCGAUCUAAGCAAUACCGACCUACGAUCCCCUCAACCCAGAAAAGAAAGGAGACCUCGUGCCCUUGUCCCUUAAUUCACCAGCUGUGCUGCCAGAAACUUCCAUGUACCACUGACGGGAAGCAUUGGAAAGGAAACGACACCAUGGAGCUCAUCCCCACCACCAAUUGCGGACCAGACAUUUUCAGGACUUGUGAGGAAAACCCAAAGGAAUGAGACUGAAAUGAGCAAAGACAAGAUGACAACCAUUUGAACCUGACCAGCUGAGCCGAACGCACCAGAUGUUACACGCAGGUUAGGCGUCGAAGAUUGUGAACCAUUGAGAUCAGGUGCUCCGUCAAAACAACCUCAUCAGUAAUGAAUUAUCUCAGACUUGUUGCAUUUGAAUGGCUAAGCAAUCGUUUACAUUUGUGAUCCGGUUUUUUUGACCGCUCUUGCUGUGUGGAUCUGAUGCCUACUCCAACAUAAACUCUGCUCGUGUCUCAGUUUCCUAGACCUCUUUUGGAUGUUUCUACGAUCAGACCUUUAUCUGAAAAUGUUUCUGGUGUUUAUUACGGAAAUUUAAAGACAGAUUAUCAGGGAUGAAUAAAUGUUGCUGCAUCUACUGUCUGCCACACCACGUUAGAAGCAAAUUAAUUGUCGAAAGGAAAAAGAAAUGUUUCCAGGGUACUAACAGAGCAAGACAAAUCUUAAAAUUGAAAAUCACGGAAACAAUCACAGUGGGGUCCCUUGGAUUUGUUUACAUCUGUCUUCUGCCACUUCUACAUCCGAAUUAGAGGAAUUGUCAUCCUGGAAGUCAAAAACAUUUUAAGGCUAAUAACAGAAGUUGAAAAAUUUCAAGAUUUUUGAUGACAAAGAAGAUAUUUUUUCUCACCUACUCUUAAGAAAGUACCUGUAUUCUCACUGAAUGGAAAUAUAUUUAAAAUAUACGUGGACAACUUCAGCAUUGUGUCAAAUGAAAGAAUCGGAGUUAAUACCCCACAAGACGACUUACAGAUCCAUGAAAUUUCAUGAAUUACAUAUUUUAUUUAUUCCUUCUCAUUUUCUUGUUGUAAAUAAAGCAAUGAAUUCUUUUUCCCUCUUUGAGAAA